rnacentral:tRNA from 1 species
GGGCGAAUGGUCUAGGGGUAUGAUACUCCCUUCGCAUUUCUGAUUUAGCAGAGUAGUGUGUCUGGGAGGGGUCCGGGGUUCAAUUCCCCGUUCGUCCA